UACGAAGGGUGCAAGCGUUACUCGGAAUUACUGGGCGUAAAGCGUGCGUAGGUGGUUUGUUAAGUCUGAUGUGAAAGCCCUGGGCUCAACCUGGGAAUUGCAUUGGAUACUGGCAGGCUAGAGUGCGGUAGAGGGUAGUGGAAUUCCCGGGUGUAGCAGUGAAAUGCGUAGAGAUCGGGAGGAACAUCCGUGGCGAAGGCGACUACCUGGACCAGCACUGA
rnacentral:rRNA from 1 species